rnacentral:rRNA from 1 species
GAUGAACGCUGGCGGCGUGCCUAAUACAUGCAAGUCGAGCGAACAGACGAGGAGCUUGCUCCUCUGACGUUAGCGGCGGACGGGUGAGUAACACGUGGAUAACCUACCUAUAAGACUGGGAUAACUUCGGGAAACCGGAGCUAAUACCGGAUAAUAUAUUGAACCGCAUGGUUCAAUAGUGAAAGACGGUUUUGCUGUCACUUAUAGAUGGAUCCGCGCCGCAUUAGCUAGUUGGUAAGGUAACGGCUUACCAAGGCGACGAUGCGUAGCCGACCUGAGAGGGUGAUCGGCCACACUGGAACUGAGACACGGUCCAGACUCCUACGGGAGGCAGCAGUAGGGAAUCUUCCGCCAUGGGCGAAAGCCUGACGGAGCAACGCCGCGUGAGUGAUGAAGGUCUUCUGAUCGUAAAACUCUGUUAUUAGGGAAGAACAAAUGUGUAAGUAACUAUGCACGUCUUGACGGUACCUAAUCAGAAAGCCACGGCUAACUACGUG